ensembl:lncRNA
CAAAGCCCCCACCUCUGCUUCGGACUCUAUCUCCUGCCCCCUGGGCUCCAGACAGGGACAGCUAAAUACUGCUCUGCGGGGUUAUUUAUCUGAAAAAAAAAAAAUAUUGCUUUAGAACUGUACCAGCUUCACGGUUCAGCAGCUGGGACACUUAGGUAAAAUCUGAACCUGAUCAUCAGGAGAUGUGCUAGAAAAAAACACGAAGUAGCAAAAUCCAAUUUCAAGCCAGCAUCAUUCGCUGGAAGGGAAAGCACAUGUUCAGCAGAAGGGAAGACAAACCUGAAACUGAUCUGCAGGGCUGAACAUUAUGCCUCAGACCAGCUUAACCUCUGAUUCACUGGGAAUUUAAUCAUCUCCUUUAUGUCUGAAUAAACCUGAAGACAUCUUGUGACCUAGAACCUUCUUCAUGGGCUCUGGAAAUGUUGAGCGUGGACCCAAGAACACCUAGGGAUCAGGGAUACCAUCUGGAUCCAUAAAUUUUCCCCUAAUGGACAGCCCCAGUGUGGGAAAAGAAAACCCACGCAGAUUCCACACAGAAGACAGGGAAUGUCGAAGACCAACAUUGUGGGUGAGACUGAGUGCCGAUGCAAGCCCUCUGCCUGCAGUGGCAAAUCGUGACCAGCAAGCCCUCAGUCAUGAUGAACAGCUAUGAACCGGGGUUGAUGGCCAGAGCAUCAUUACCCUUCUACACAUACUCCACGAGGACAACCCUGUGCAACACCGCAGAACAAGGCUGGCGUGCGAGAGGCUAUUUUUAAUCGAUACAGUGUGAGAAAGAAAAGAGAUGGACACGGCACCCGAAAGUGCCGCCCGCCCAAGAAACAGUGGCUGCCUGGCUGGCUUUCUGUGUUACAGCCACCCUCCC